rnacentral:rRNA from 1 species
CCUACGGGAGGCUGCAGUGGGGAAUAUUGGACAAUGGGCGCAAGCCUGAUCCAGCCAUGCCGCGUGUGUGAAGAAGGCCUUCGGGUUGUAAAGCACUUUCAGCGAGGAGGCGUUACUCGCAGAAGAAGCACCGGCUAACUCCGUGCCAGCAGCCGCGGUAAUACGGAGGGUGCAAGCGUUAAUCGGAAUUACUGGGCGUAAAGCGCACGUAGGCGGUUUGUUAAGUUGGAUGUGAAAGCCCCGGGCUCAACCUGGGAAUUGCAUUCAAGACUGGCAAGCUAGAGUAUGUGAGAGGGGGGUAGAAUUCCAAGUGUAGCGGUGAAAUGCGUAGAGAUUUGGAGGAAUACCAGUGGCGAAGGCGGCCCCCUGCCAAUACUGACGCUCAGGUGCGAAAGCGUGGGGAGCAAACAGGAUUAGAUACCCUUGUAGUC